CUGAGGCAAACAAGCAGAAUGGUUUUAUGUGUUGUCCAUGCUAAAUGUGGGAAUACGAAGUCUUACUUUGACCGGAAAAUCCUUCACACCCACCUGCUUUACAAGGGUUUCAUGCCACACUAUAAUGUUUGGACGAGGCAUGGAGAAAUAGGGGUUAUGAUGGAAGACGGCGAAGAAGAAGAGAACAAUGACAACUAUGUGCCCCCUGAAUACGGUGAUGCUGCAACGGGGGAAGCUGCUGAAGAUCAAGAGGAACCAGACGAUGUGCCCAAUGAUGCUGCAACGGGGGAAGCUGCUGAAGUUCAAGAGGAACCAGUGCCCGAUGAUGAUGAUCUCCGCCGGGUCAUUGUCGAUGCAAGGACGCAAUGUGAAAGUCAAAAGGAGAAGCUGAAGUUCGAUCGCAUUUUAGAGGAUCACAAAAAAGGGUUGUACCCCAAUUGCGAAGAUGGCAACACAAAGCUCGAUACCGUACUGGAAUUGUUGCAGUGGAAGGCAGAGAAUGUUGUGCCUGACAAAGGAUUUGAGAAGCUAUUGAAAAUAUUGAAGAAGAAGCUUCCAAAGGAUAACGAAUUGCCCGACAGUACAUACGCAGCAAAGAAGGUCGUAUGUCCUCUAGGAUUGGAGGUGCAGAAGAUACAUGCAUGCCCUAAUGACUGCAUCCUCUACCGCGGUGCGUACAAGGAUCGGAACGGAUGCCCGGUAUGCGGUGCAUUGCGGUAUAAGAUCACACGAGAUGACCCUGGUGAUGUUGACGGCGAGCCCCCCAGGAAGAGGGUUCCUGCGAAGGUGAUGUGGUAUGCUCCUAUAAUAGCAUGGUUGAAACGUCUGUUCAGAAACGAAGAGCAUGCCAAGUUGAUGCGAUGGCACAGUGAGGACCGUAAGGAAGACGGGAAGUUGAGAGCACCCGCUGACGGGUCGCAGUGGAGAAAAAUCGAGAGAAAGUACUGGGCUGAGUUUGCAGCUGACCCAAGGAACGUAUGGUUUGGUUUAAGCGCGGAUGGCAUUAAUCCUUUCGGGGAGCAGAGCAGCAAUCACAGCACCUGGCCCAUGACUCUAUGUAUGUAUAACCUUCCUCCUUGGAUGUGCAUGAAGCGAAAGUUCAUUAUGAUGCCAGUUCUCAUCCAAGGCUCUAAGCAACCCGGCAACGACAUUGAUGUGUACCUAAGGCCAUUAGUUGAAAAACUUUUACAGCUGUGGAAUAGAAACGGUGUACGUACGUGGGAUGAGCACAAACAG
rnacentral:rRNA from 1 species